AUAAUGACGGUACUUGAGGAGGAAGCCCCGGCUAACUACGUGCCAGCAGCCGCGGUAAUACGUAGGGGGCUAGCGUUAUCCGGAUUUACUGGGCGUAAAGGGUGCGUAGGCGGUCUUUCAAGUCAGGGGUGAAAGGCUACGGCUCAACCGUAGUAAGCUCUUGAAACUGGGAGACUUGAGUGCAGGAGAGGAGAGUGGAAUUCCUAGUGUAGCGGUGAAAUGCGUAGAUAUUAGGAGGAACACCAGUUGCGAAGGCGGCUCUCUGGACUGUAACUGACGCUGAGGCACGAAAGCGUGGGGAGCAAACAGGAUUA
rnacentral:rRNA from 1 species